AUACGGAGGGUGCAAGCGUUGUCCGGAUUUAUUGGGUUUAAAGGGUGCGUAGGUGGUUUUUUAAGUCAGUGGUGAACGCCUACAGCUUAACUGUAGAGGUGCCAUUGAAACUGGGGAACUUGAGUAUGGACGAGGUAGGCGGAAUUUGUGGUGUAGCGGUGAAAUGCAUAGAUACCACAAAGAACACCGAUAGCGAAGGCAGCUUACUAGGCCAUAACUGACACUGAGGCACGAAAGUGUGGGGAGCGAACAGGAUUAGAUACCCAGGUAGUCC
rnacentral:rRNA from 1 species